rnacentral:tRNA from 1 species
UGCAGCUCAGAGGUAGAGCACCUGCCUAGUAAGCACGAGGCCCUGGGUUUGAUCCCCAGCA